GAUGAACGCUGCCAGAAUGCUUAACACAUGCAAGUCUUUGGCGAAGCUGUGCUUGCACAGCCUAGCCAAGGCGGACGGGUGAGUAACGCGUAAGGAACUUGCCCUGCAGUCAGGGAUAACAGACGGAAACGACUGAUAAGACCUGGUAAAGUCAGGCGGACUCAUGUCCAGCCUGAUGAAAAGAGAUGCUGCAGGAGAGCCUUGCGUCCUAUUAGCUUGUUGGUGGGGUAACGGCCCACCAAGGCGAUGAUAGGUAGCCGGCCUGAGAGGGUGGACGGCCACAAGGGGACUGAGAUACGGCCCUUACUCCUACGGGAGGCAGCAGUGGGGAAUAUUGGACAAUGGGGGCAACCCUGAUCCAGCAAUUCUGUGUGCACGUUGAAGGUUUUCGGAGUGUAAAGUGCUUUCAGCAGGGAAGAAAAAAAUGACGGUACCUGCAGAAGAAGCGACGGCUAAAUACGUG
rnacentral:rRNA from 1 species